AGUGAACGCUGGCGGCGUGCCUAAUACAUGCAAGUCGAACGGUAACAGGAAGUAGCUUGCUACUUUGCUGAUUAGUGGCGCACGGGUGAGUAAUGCAUAGGUCAUGUGCCCCAUAGUCUGGGAUAGCCACUGGAAACGGUGAUUAAUACUGGAUACUCCCGAGAGGGGAAAGUUUUUCGCUAUGGGAUCAGCCUAUGUCCUAUCAGCUUGUUGGUGAGGUAAUGGCUCACCAAGGCUAUGACGGGUAUCCGGCCUGAGAGAGUGAACGGACACACUGGAACUGAGACACGGUCCAGACUCCUACGGGAGGCAGCAGUAGGGAAUAUUGCUCAAUGGGGGAAACCCUGAAGCAGCAACGCCGCGUGGAGGAUGAAGGUCUUCGGAUUGUAAACUCCUUUUCUAAGAGAAGAUUAUGACGGUAUCUUAGGAAUAAGCACCGGCUAACUCCGUG
rnacentral:rRNA from 1 species